rnacentral:rRNA from 1 species
AAUCAUUUGCCCUAUAAUUGAGGGCUAGUAUGAAUGGUUUGACAUGAGCAUAGCUGUCUCCUUAAAAUUUUAUAAAAUUUGGUUUUUAGGUGAAGAAACCUAAAUUAAAUUGAAAGACAAGAAGACCCUAUCGAGCUUUAGAAUAAUUAAUUAAAAAAUAUAAAUAAAACAAUUAAUUUUAAUUAAAAACUUUGGUUGGGGCGACUGAGGAACAUAUAAAACUUCCUUAAUUAAACAAUGCUGAUAAGCAAUGAUCCAGGAAAUCUGAUUAAAAAAAUUAGUUACCGUAGGGAUAACAGCAUAAUCUUUUUUGAGAGCUCUUAUCGAAAAAAAGGUUUGU